rnacentral:lncRNA from 1 species
GGGGGUGAAUUGGUGUAAAUAAAAAAUCAGAGUCUUUUCAAAAUCUUUUUUGCAAAGUAUAAAACUUUCAAAAGUUUCUUGAAUCUCGUAUGAAAAAGAUAAAUCAGUGCAGCGGAAAAUAGUUGAUUAUACUAAAAAUAAAGUCGACUUGAAAGUAAAGAGAUCGGGGAUAGAAAAUUCAAACACAGUUUUUAUACUGGUUCGGCCAAAUUGUCUACAUCUAGUGUCCUUUCUGUACCCGGAAGCCAAUGCACUAUAAUGGUCAAGGUUUUUACAACAAGGUUUCUAUAGAGACCUCCACGUCAAAAUAUAAAACACCUCUUUAACCCUCUAACCAAAAUAUAGGCAUACAACACCCACGAAACAACAACAAGAUAUUCUCUCUCCUGUAGUCUUUGUAAACUUUGAACAGUGCUCAAAGUUCCCAGAACGCAGCACAUCCUCUUCUGUAAUCACAACAGGGCAGCACAAUCUUCACAAGAUUAAGAGAAGUAGAUGAUCACGUUUCCAAAACACCUCAAUGUGCAGUAUGAUUAAGUCUUUCUUUCAGCACGACAACCUUGCCCUUCAAGCAACUAUCAAAGAACGAUCUCCACGGUAUUCUUGAUAAGUUCUUGGAGCUUUUCAUAGAGAUCAAAACUUGAAACAAUAGAAUGAAAAUGUUAGAAUAAGCAAAGUCUCUGUGGCAUACAGAAUCACGUUUAUUUAUAGUUUUCUGUUAAACAGACACUCAUGUAGUCGACUUCACUACUAAUACAGUCAACUUCAGUCAGACAGUUAAAACAGUUAUAUCAUUUAGUAGCAGUCAGAUCAACCAAAUUGAUUAAUCAUUUAAUUUAGUUGACUAGAAAUUAAUGCUUGGUCAAAGAAACAAAAUAUAGUCGUUAUAGUUCACAAGCAUCAACAGAAAUUCAAAACAUAACUAACUAAGUCGAGUAGUCUGCAGAUACAGUCGACUAUGUCACUUCAAUGCAGUUUUGAAAAUCUUUCAUGCAAAAAUAAUCAUAGAAUUGUUUUUGAAAAUCUGUUCAAAGUCAUGAGUUUUAAUCGACUUGCUUCAUAAUGAAGUCGACUUAAAACUUGCAGUUUUGUCACACAAUAUAAGUUCAACUAAGUGCAUGUGGUUUUCUUUUCUAAAACAUAUGUUAUGCAAUCACAGAUGAUAUCUCAUGUGAAACAGUGAAUAUGCACACAUAUAUAGAAUCAACACAAACAUGUUCUUCAAAAAUUCAUACACAAGAAAGUUUUGAACAUGUAACACAAAUAUAACAUGUGUUAUUAAUAAUGUGUUGUCAUCAUAAAAAACUAGAAACAUUGUGAGAUUAAGGUUGAUCUAAACCAAUGCUUACCUUAUCAACAAUCUCAACAAUCUCCCCCUUUCUUUAUGAUGCACAACCAUGAUUAAUAAACAACCAUGUUUGUACACAACAACUUUUAAAAUCAAUCAUAUAAUCAAACUAUAUUAGAGCUCAUAUAACCAAACUGUAUCAGAGCAAGUGAUUAAAUGAUUUUAUCAAUAUAUCAGAGCAAACAAAUGAAGUCUUUCUCAAAUUCAAAACAAAUAUAUCAGAGUCACAAAGACAACAUAUAUCCUUUUUAUCAAAACAGUCAAACUUUUCUCCCCCUUUGUGCAUUAGCAAAAAAGGUACUCUCUUAUGAUAAAGAUAUGGUGAUAAAUGAUUUUCGAGAGAUGAAUCAAUAUAAACAUAUUAAUCAAUCAAAGAUGCUCCCCUGACACAGAUAAUCACAUGAUAAAGAAAUAAUCUCCCCCUAAAGUGUAGGCAUGUGAAAUAUCCAAACUAUCAUGUAAUACUCCCCUUGUUAUUAUGCAUGUCUUAUAAUCAAAAAUCAAAUGCACAAUGUAGAUAUCACAGAUUUCAAAGCAUAUAAAAGCAUGUAUCAGAAUUGUAUCAGAAACAGAAUUGCAAACAAUUCAAUCAAGCAUAGAUACAAUCAAUCAACAAUAUCACAAUAUAAUCUUGCAGAUAUAUCAAUCAAUUAUAAAGCAGAGAUAUAUUGAAAGAAAACAAUAUAGAAUAUGACCAAAUAAUAGUAUAACCAAAUUCCAAAUCAUGGAAUUUAUAACCCCUGUUAACCAAUAGUCGAUUGAUCCAUAUUCUCAGUCGAUUUUCAUUACUCUCCAAGUAAGUUGAGAUUCCAGUAGUAUGUCCAGAAGCAAUGUUGCCUGUAAAACCUUUCAAGAUCUUUUGAAGAUCAAGCAUUUUAGAAUCAUUUAAAUGCAAGAAAGUAAUACAGAUAUGAACUGAAUAUGCAAAAGAGUUAAUGUAACAGUAAAUAUAUGCAUAAUCAUCUUCAUUAGUCACAAAGCAGGUAGAAUUAAAAUUGAAACAACUGAUUUCAUUGAUAUAUCAAAAGGUAUUACAACCUGAUUAGACCACUAGACAGACAAAAUGGCAAGCUAAACCAUUUUCAGAAUAUACUAAGACAAAAUGAGAUAAUUAUCAAACAAAGUUUAACUAAACCAGAACACACUGAUGCAAAGACAACAAGCAAGAUUUCCUAACAUCCCUCAGAAAGAUUCCAUUGAAUCCUCAUCAGAUGAACUUUCCUCCUCUUGUUGUUGAACAACACCAUGUUCUCUUGCAAACUUGUCAAACUUGUCAUGUAAAAUUAUGAUUUGUUCAGCAAUGUAUCUUUCAAAAUUUGUUUCAAGGAAGAAAUUUGUCUGUUCCUCAAUUGCAGCUGGUGUGCUCCCUGUGCUAUACCGAGAAUUAUCUUCACCCAUGAAGCUUCAUCCAUUUAUGGCCUUUACCAAGCUAAGAGACGUGACAAAGUCUCGAUCAAAAACAUUUGAAGAGUUCUAGAAGUACUUUUGCUCAUUGCUAAUUUCAACUCCUUGCAGCACAAGCACUUUGCUUAUAAAAGCAGCAUAUGGCAGAUAAAGUGAUCUUUAUAGUGCAACACUCUUCAUGUGAUCUUUUACAACUUGUAACUAGUUUAUGGGUAUGUUGUUUUUAAUUGUGUGAAGCAAAUAAAUGUCUUCAGUGGUCAUCUUAUGUUUUCUCAUUCUUCUUGGUAGAAUUAUCCAAGCUAGAAAAUAAGCAACGAUCUUUUCUUCCUUCAAUAGUCCUUCAAGCGCAAAGAUCCUUUUAGUAGAAUACCUUCCAAGAAACCUUAACCAAUCUUUGUAUAGCCUUAUCUUGUUAAGCAAAGCAUUAGCUUCAACAGAUGGUAAGUGUGAAGAAGCUCCCUCAGACGGUAAAUUUGUAAUGCUAUUCCACAUAAAAUCAUCAAUCUGAAUGUCAAUACCUUUCACUCUGGAGUGUACGUCGUCAUUUACUACCUUCAAAUUGUGAUAGAACACAUUCACUAGGUUCGGAUACCAAUAUCCUUUCAUCUGCACAAAGAUGGAUAAUCCUUGUCUUUCAACCCAGUCAGGAAACAUGAAUCCCUCUGAUAAGGACAUAUUUUACCAUGAUUUCAGUAAUGAAUUAAGAGAAAAUGUCAACUCUUCCUUAACCUUUUGCCUUGUAAAUCUUGGUUUCCUCUUAGUUUGUUAAGUGGUUGCACUUUAAGCUUUAAUGAAAUAUUUUGAUCAUUAAUCCCUGCUUUUAUGUGCUUAAUGUAACGCCCCUCCAACUUACAGGGACUGUUGACUGCCUCCACACAUCAACACGAGGCUUUCCAGUGUGCUUUGUGCUUACUCACACACUUUUCGAGAAAACUUCCCGGAAAGUCAUCCAUCCCAUAAUUACUCUAGGCUAAGCACGCUUAACCAUGAAGUUCUUAUGAGUUAGGCUACCGAAAAGCAAAUGCAUUUGUUGAUAUGAGUAGUUAAAUCAAUUCCUUUAUGUUAUCCUUCAACAGUAUAGUCCCAUACCUAUACAGUCUCUAGAUCCCUCUCAUUCCGGUGUAUGUUCGAUUCGUCCAUGUGCCCCUUCCACUCGAAGCCUGCCAGGAGUCGCUCUUUGUCCAUGCCUCUUGCACCGGCGAUCACUCUCCGCCCUCGUCAGCGCCCAGGCGUCACACUUAAAGUAGUUAGAAGAAAUCUAUGCAUCAAAUGAAGGCGUUGGAACCCAAAGAACGCAAGAAAAAUAGCAAAAUAGUUGAAUUUUGGAAUGUUGCCGCUGGGGAGCAGUUGAGCGCCCUGCUCUCUAGAAGGUUGCCGCUGGGAUGCAGCUGGGGUGCAGCUGAGCGCCCAACUCUCUGGAAGUCUGCAGUUGGGCUAUAGCUGGGGUGCAGCUGAGCAGUGGCAAUGCUUAUGUGGAAAAAAUAGGUCUUUCUAGGCCUAAAAUGCGAAGAGGUCUCGAUCUUUUGCUGCCCAAAACACGAUUCCUCACAUUUAGAGCUCUUGGAGGCGAGCUAGGAGCUGUAGGAACAGUCCUUCUUCAUCCUUGGGUCUUCUUUCUUCUUCCAUCUCCACCAUUGUUGUAAGCUUGAGUUCUCCAUUCAUGGAGAGCUAGUUUAUUAUUGUUGGGGAUUAAUGUAGCCACUGAACUAUUGUGUAAACUAUUGUGUUUUGAAUGAAUAUAUGCCUCUUUCAUUGAUUGUUAGUGUUUAAUUCCUUCUCUUAAUGCUUGUUGUGAAGUUGUUACCCAUAACAUGAUUUUAGGGUUUGCUUGAUAUUUGGAAAUGUUGGGUAAAUCUUGACUUGGGUUAAACACCUAAAGGAAAUAGUAUAUAGAGAUAGGACUGGGACCUUUGGUUGUCUUAAAAUCUCAUUUCUUAUUGCGGAAAUAAUUCUUAGGUUUUCCAAGGGAUUGAAGCCUAAUAAGGAAGUCUAGGCUCUUUCUACAAAGGGAUUGGGGUUUAAGUAAAUUAGUAGAUUGACAUUGACAUAUUAAUGAAGAGGAAGUGAUUUUCUAUACAUAAGAGUGAAGUAGGUGAAAUCAUACCCCCAACAAUAUCAUUCCAUAUCAUUUCUAAUCAUUCCAUUUCAAAGUGUUUGAGUACUUAAGAUCACUCUUAUCAUUUAUGGUUCAUAGUUACUUUAAUUGUACCAAAACUAAAUUUAUGGAAGCAUAGGUUAGUUAGAAAUUAUACGAUUGUCUAAUGAAACGAGUCUCUUGGGAAACGAUAUCCGGUCUUACCGGUUUUAUUACUUGAACGAUUUGGUACACUUGCCAAAGUCUCAACACCCUCCUUCUCAAACAUAUUCAGAUUCAGAUUCAUUGGAGUAGCGACAAUCUUGACAGUACCAUUCAGAAAUCUUUCCCUUGUUUCUUCAUCAUUGAUCCAUCCAAUGGGAUCAAAACUUCUUAUAGCAGUGACUCCUUUUCCCUUGUUUCCUUCAACAGCGUGACUUGUGGAUGCCAUAGAGUGUGGAUUCUUGGAAAUCUUCUUUCUCAGUCUAGGGUUUUAGGAAUUUGACAAAACACUUAGGCUAAUUUCUAUUUCAGUUCAAAGAAUGAGACGCACUAUAAAAAGGCGUGAACUACAUUCAACAAAAUUUUGCCCAUUUUGAAAUUUCAAAUUUAGAAAGCCCAAAACAGAGGUACAAAGUCAAUUUUAUAAAAUCUUAAGUUGACUAUUGUAUGACAGAGAGAUUUCAAAAAACAUAAUAGUACAUACAUAGACAUACAAUCAAUUGUGCUCAUAAUCCAGUCGAUUAAAAGACAUAAAGAUAAUUUUUCACAUCAAUACAGACAAACAAACAAUCAAUCAAUCAUACACACAAUCAAACAUCAUCAAUCAAACAACUUUUAUGCAUCACGCAGUAAGAUGAUAUCUUUUACUAGUUGAAGAUACUCAAGAAACUUGAUGUAAUCAUGUUAGUUCAUCCUUGAGUUCUCACUGCAUGUCACGGCAAUUGUUGCUAACCUGCAAACCAAUUCAAACUUUUUAAUGCAGGUACCCAUUUGAAUUUGGGUCCUUGAUUGUUAGUUAUAGCUAGAUGUUCCUUAGGAAUCCAUUUAUAUAAGCCUUUAGGAACACCAACCUUUUUGUAAAAGCAAUUUCUAAAAGUAUGACCAAUGUUAUUGCAGUAAAAGUAAGCAUGUUUAACAGGUUUACUCAAUUCAGUAAACUUCUUUGUAUUAGCCUUAUUAGAUUGAGCUUUAUAUCCAAUUCCUUGCCUAUAUAUAGCUUUACCUGAAGACUUUAAAAUAGCAUUCAAAUUAUCUCUAUCCUGUGUGAAUUUAGCUACCGUGCUAGUCAAGUAAUCUAUUUGUUCAACAUGAGUAGGACAUUUUUCACAUUUCUUUUCAAUAGUAAUAGUCUCAGUAAUUACUGUUUUAGCAGAUAAUAAAGCAACAUCUAAUUCCUUUUGUAAUUUCUCAUUAUCAUUGACAAGAUUGUUGAUUCUAUACUCAUAAUCAUUUUUCUCAGAGUUAAGUUGAUUAACCUUAUAUUGUAGUUGCGUUGCUUCAGCAUGUAUUUCCUAAAAUGCAUUCAGCAACAGGUCGUACUUCACCUCAAUCGAUUAUUUCUCAAACUAUGUAUCACUCUCAUAAUCUGCUAGUGAUGUUCCAACCAUGAAGCAUAUGUUUGAUUCCUCCUCACGAUCAAGAUCUUCAUCACUUGAGGAUUUUGAACCACUGUUUUCCCAGGCAAUAUAAGCACUCUUUUUCUUUCUGUUCUUUUCCUUAGGAAACCUCUUGUUAGCUUUCUGCUUCAACUUCAGAUCUAGACAAUUAGGCUUGAUGUGUCCUUCUUUGUCGUAUUCAUAACAUUGAAUUACAUUUGAUUGAAGCUUUCUUGGCUUUGCUAUUUCCUACAUGGUUACUAAGUUGACUAUUAUUCUUCAUAAAUCGAUUGAAUUUCCUUACCACCAUAGACAUCAGUUCAUUGUUGUCCAAUUCUGCAUCUGAAUCAUCCUCUGAUUGUGCAAUCUUUGCUGGUAACUUUCAAUGCUAUGGACUUCUUUUCGUCAAUCUUUUCCUCAUCUUUCAAUCUUCCAUGUUCAAAUUCAUGUUCUCUUAGCUUCCCAAACAAGGUAGCCAUGCUCAUGCUAGUAAGAUCCUUGGAUUCAUAGAUUGCAAUGAUUUUUGGUUGUUAGUUUCUAUUUAUACUUUUGAGAAUCUUGAUGUUGAUCUCCUCUUUCUCAAAAAAAAUUCCAAGAGCCAUUAGAUGGUUGACAAUAUGAAUGAACCUUUUCUGAACCUCAUAUAUGGUUUUACCUAUCCUCAUUCUGAAAAGUUCAUACUCUUGUAUCAAAGAAUUCUUUCUAGCUCUCUUAACCUCAUAAGUACCUUCAUGUGUGACUUCCAAGACAUCCCACAUUUCUUUAGCACUUUUGCAUUGAGAUAUCCUGAAAAAUUCAUCAACUGUUAGUGUAGAGGCAAUAAUAUUUCGUGCUUUAACAUCAUACUAUGCUUUACGAUUUUCAUCUUGAGACCACUCAGAAAAAAUUUUCAAAACAAUAUUUCCAUUAAUAACAUGAGUUGGCUUAAAAGGACCAUUUACUAUUGCAUCCCAAAUACCUCUAUCCAUGAAUUCAAGAAAAAUUUGCAUUCGAAUUUUCCAAAAAGGAUAGUUUUCAUCAACAAACAGUCGUGAUCUGUUUGUAGAUGCACCUUCACCAAAGGUCUGAAAACUAGAAGUCAUUUGCCAGGAAUACAAUCAAUUCAAAGAAAAAUGCAGUCGACUAGUUUUUUGAAUAUCUUAUGAAAAUCAGCUCUAGUGCCAAUUGUUGGAAAAAGAAUGGCCUUGCUUCAACACCAAGGGGGGUGAAUUGGUGUAAAUCAAAAAUCAAAGUCUUUUCAAAAUCUUUUUCGCAAAGCAUAAAACUUUCAAUAGUUUCUUAAAUCUCGUACGAAAAAUAUACAUCAGUGCAGCGAAAAAUAGUUGACUAUACUAAAAAUAAAGUCGACUUGAAAGUAAAGAGAUCAGGGAUAGAAAAUUCAAACACAGUUUCGAUACCGGUUUGGCCAAAAUGCCUACAUUUAGUGUCCUUCCUGUACCCGGAAGCAAAUGCACUAUAAUGGUCAAGGUUUUUACAACAAGGUUUUUGCACCUCUCAAACCCUCUAACCAAAAUAUAGGCAUACAACACCCAAAGAACAUUAGCAAGAUAUCCC